AGAGUUUGAUCCUGGCUCAGAACGAACGCUGGCGGCAGGCUUAACACAUGCAAGUUGAACGGGAUUUGUGUGGUGCUUGCACCAUAUAAUGAGAGUAGCGCACUGGUGAGUAACACGUGGGAACGUGCCUUUUAGUGGGGGAUAACAUCUGGAAACGGAUGCUAAUACCGCAUACGCCCUGAGGGGGAAAGAUUUAUUGCUAAGAGGUCGGCCCGCGGUAGAUUAGGCAGUUGGUGGGGUAAAGGCCUACCAAACCGACGAUCUAUAGCUGGUCUGAGAGGACGAUCAGCCACAUUGGGACUGAGACACGGCCCAGACUCCUACGGGAGGCAGCAGUGAGGAAUAUUGGGCAAUGGGGGCAACCCUGACCCAGCCAUGCCGCGUGAGUGAAGAAGGUUUUCGAAUUGUAAAGCUCUUUCGGAUGUGACGAUGAUGACGGUAGCAUCUAAAGAAGCCCCGGCAAACUUCGUGCCAGCAGCCGCGGUAAUACGAAGGGGGCGAGCGUUGUUCGGAAUUACUGGGCGUAAAGGGUGUGUAGGCGGUUAUGUAAGAUAGCGGUGAAAUCCCGGGGCUUAACCUCGGAAUAGCCGUUAUAACUAUGUAGCUAGAGUUAUGGAGAGGAUAGCGGAAUACCCAGUGUAGAGGUGAAAUUCGUAGAUAUUGGGUAGAACACCAGAGGCGAAGGCGGCUAUCUGGGCAUUUAUUGACGCUGAGGCACGAAAGCAUGGGGAUCAAACAGGAUUAGAUACCCUGGUAGUCCAUGCUGUAAACGAUGAAUGCUAGUUGUUGGAGGAAUUCAGUGACGCAGUUAACACAAUAAGCAUUCCGCCUGGGGAGUACGGUCGCAAGAUUAAAACUCAAAGGAAUUGACGGGGACCCG
rnacentral:rRNA from 1 species